rnacentral:rRNA from 1 species
GAUGAACGCUGACAGAAUGCUUAACACAUGCAAGUCAACUGUGGCGGACGGGUGAGUAACGCGUAAAGAACUUGCCUCACAGCUAGGGACAACAUUUGGAAACGAAUGCUAAUACCUGAUACUGUGAGAGAGCUUUGCGUCCCAUUAGCUAGUUGGAGAGGUAACGGCUCACCAAGGCGAUGAUGGGUAGCCGGCCUGAGACGGUGAUCGGCCACAAGGGGAAUGAGACGCGGCCCUUGCUACUACGGGGGGAAGCAGUGGGGAAUAAUGGACAAUGGACCAAAGUCUGAUACAGCAAUUCUGUGUGAACGAUGAAGUUUUCGGAAUAUAAAGUGCUUUCAGUUGGGAAGCGGUACCAACAGAAGAAGUGACGGCUAAAUACGUGCCAGCAGCCGCGGUAAUUC